rnacentral:rRNA from 1 species
CCUACGGGUGGCAGCAGUGAGGAAUAUUGGUCAAUGGACGAGAGUCUGAACCAGCCAAGUAGCGUGAAGGAUGACUGCCCUAUGGGUUGUAAACUUCUUUUAUAUGGGAAUAAAACAGGGUAUGCAUACCCUUUUGUAUGUACCAUAUGAAUAAGGAUCGGCUAACUCCGUGCCAGCAGCCGCGGGAAUACGGAGGAUCCGACCGUUCUCCGGAUUUAUUGGGUUUAAAGGGAGCGUAGGUGGAUUGUUAAGUCAGGUGUGAAAGUUUGCGGCUCAACCGUAAAAUUGCAGUUGAAACUGGCAGUCUUGAGUACAGUAGAGGUGGGCGGAAUUCGAGGUGUAGCGGUGAAAUGCUUAGAUAUAACGAAGAACUCCGAUUGCGAAGGCAGCUUACUGGACUGCAACUGACACUGAUGCUCGAAAGUGUGGGUAUCAAACAGGAUUAGAUACCCUAGUAGUC